rnacentral:lncRNA from 1 species
UUACGCCGCUUUUGAGAGCUGAAGUUGAUUAUUAGGGUUUCAACUUUUAGAAGAACAAAAACGCCUUUACAAAUUUAAAUAGAGAAUAUCUCUGUUUCUGUUUUAAUUUGUAAACCCUGUUUUUGUUCUUUUUUAUGUUUAUUCUUUGAAAAAUUUUCAUAUGGGUUAUUCUUUGGUUAUUAUUGAUUUUUCAUAGCUUUCAAUUCAAUGUUAGAAGCUGUUUCUAUUCUGUAAUGAUAUUUUUUUUUUUCUUUUCUGGUUGUCCCAAUGAUGAUUUAUAAUCAUAAAAGUAGUGGACUGAAUUUCCUUGAAGAGAAAUUUAUUCAGAGGGAUACACUAAUUUAUUAUUAAUUGUGUUUUUAAAUCUGUUUAUCAUUGAUUUGAUGUUUAAGCACAGCCCUUAAGAUCGCCUUUCAAAUAAAAUGAAAGCGUUUUGAGUCAUUGCUGUGCUAAAUUAAAUUACUAUAAGGUUUCAUAUUAGGGUUUUCCUUCUAUGAAUUCUUUUCCACCACUUGUUUUUAUUUAUUUAUGAGGCAUAGACCCUUUUACCAUUGGAUCUGUUAUUUUUAUCAAUGUUAAUAUCUUUGGUUAAUGGCUUCUUGUAAGUUUUGACUUAAAGAUUUAGCUGAUUCAAUUUCAGUUUCAUUGGUGCUUUAUUAAUGUCUCAGAAAGCAAGUGGUAACAUUUGUUAAAACUUUUUUCAAAUGUAAUGUUAAUUUUAUAGGACAAUAUGCAAGUAUGAUGAUUCAAUUAGAUGUAUGAAAGGAGAAAUCCUUGCUGAACUCUAUUUUUUGAGGCAAACUGUCUGACUUGCUUAUUGUUUGUUUUAGUGUUGUUAAUCUGAGAUUGUAGGAAAUAUUACUGGAUUUUUUAAUUUGUGAAAUUGCAUCAAUAGUAGUUUGUUUUUGAUAUUUAAAUACAAGGAUGAUGAUUCAAUU